ACCAGCGUCAAUGGCAUGUCGAAUACACCAGUUCCCAAUGCAUCACUGAAGUUAAGCAACGUUGCGCGUGGUUGGCAUCUGGAUGGAUGACCAUCUGGACAAUCUCAUGUUCUCGUC
rnacentral:rRNA from 1 species